UUUUUUUUUUUUUUUUUUAUUUAAAGAGCAUGCAUGAGUAGGGGAGGAGGCAGAGGGAGAGAAUCUUCAAGUGUACUCCCUGCUGAGUGCGAUCCCCGUGUGGGGCUCAGUUCACAACCCAUGAGAUCACAGCCUGAGCUGAAACCAAGAAUUGGAGGCCCAACCAACGGAGCCACCCAGGCAUCCUAGUCUUUUUAUUUUUAAAAGCUCUUUAAGGAUACUAGAAAUAACUAACGAUUUGAAAUAUUGUCAUAUACCAGCAGGUGAACCAGUAUCACAUAGAUGUUCUAGUAAUUCUAUGAAUAUUCCUGCAUAUAAAACAUACAGCAAAUUGUUCAAGCAUCAUUUAUUGAAAAGACUGUCUUUCCUUAUUGAAUUAUCUUGGCACUUUGGUCACAAAGUUGACCAUAAGGGUGCCCGGGUGGCUCAGUUGGUUAAGCGUUUGCCUUUGGCUAAUGAUUUCAGGGUCCUGGGUCUGAGCCCUGCCUCAGGCUCCCUGCUCAGCAUUCUUCUGCUCCUGCCCCCUUUCAUGCACAUGCUCUUGCUCUCUCAAAUACUUUUUUAUUUUGACCCUAAACACAUGAAAAUAUAUUCAGUUCUAUGAUAUUCUGUCUAUAUCCUCGUGCAGUACCACACUGUCCUCAUUAUAGUAAAAUUUUGAAUUUUUUUAAAUUUUUAACUGAUCUCUACACCCAAUGUCGUCUCAAACCUAUAAUUCUGAGGUCAGUAUUCACACGUCCUACCAACUGAGCCAGCCAGGCACACCUGAAAUUUUUGGUGUAAGUGUUCCAACUUGGUUCUUUUUGUAAAAAUGGUUUUGGCUAUUGCAGUUCUUUUGCUUUUCUGUAAAAAUUUUAAAAUCAGCACAUCAGUUUCUGUAAGAGAAAAAAGUAUACUGGCAUUUUGAUAGGGAUUGCAUUGAAUCUGUAGAUCAAUUUGGAGAGAAUUGCCAUCUUAACAGUAUUGAUUCAAUCCAUGAACAUGCUCUAUCUCUCCAUUUCUUUAGGUCUUCAUCAAUCUCAGCAAUGUUGUGUACGUCUUAUAUGUUUUUUGUUGAAUCUAUCCCUAAUUUUGUUAUGUUGUUAAGUUUUAUGGUUAAGUACAUAAAAACAGCUGACUUUUGUUUUUAUCUGGUAUUUAGUAUUGAUCUUAUAUCCUUGCUUAGGAUACUUGUUAAGUGAUUCUAGUUUUUAUUUCUAAGCUGUAUGCCUUUUCCAUUUCUUGCCUUAUUGCCUUGGCUAGUACAAUUCCACGUAGAAGUGAUGAAAGCUGGCAACUUUGUCUAGUUCCAUAUCUUAGGGGGAAAGUUCAGUCUUUCACCAUUAAGUAUAUUAGCUCUGCGGUUUUCAUAGAUGUUCUUUAUCAGAUUGAGCAAAUUUCCUUCUCUAAUUUGCUGAGUUUUUAUCAUACAUGGAUAUUGAAUUUUGUCAAAUUUUUCCUCUCUUUACUGAGAUGAUCAUAGGAUUCUUUUCCUUUAUUCUGCUGAUGUGUACUCUGUGAUUUUCAGAUGUUAAACCAAACUUUCAUUCCUUGGGAUAAAACUUACUUGGUCAAAUCCUUUUUUACAUAUUGGUAAGUUUUCUUUCUUUUUUUUUUUUUUUUAAAUGUCAGCUCAUUUGAUGUUCAUUUAUUUGAUAAAUCCUUUCUCCAUAGUGUCAGAGGUACUCCCACUACUAAUCACUAUAAUUCUAAAAUAGUGGUCUGAAUUCAAAUUCCCUUUAUGACCUAACACUCCUUUGUAUAGAUUUUAUUUUUUUAUUUUUAUUUUUUUAUUUUUUUUAAAGAUUUUAUUUAUUCAUGACAGAGAGAGAGAGAGAAAGGCAGAGACACAGAGGAGAAGCAGGCUCCAUCCAGGAAGCCCGAUGUGGGACUCGAUCCCGGGACUCCAGGAUCACACCCUGGGCCAAAAGCAGGGGCCAAACCGCUGAGCCACCCAGGGAUCCCCAAGAUUUUAUUUUGCGUCUACUAUGUGCCAGGCAUUGUUAGGUGUUGAGGAUACAGAAAUAAGGUAGAUGCAAGCCCUUGACCUCACAGCAGUGGUGAAGACAAUCAAAACAUGUUAACUGUAAGAUAGUUGGAGGAGUAUUAGACAAUAUUGGGGACAAAUUGAGAUUUAAAUAAAGGGAACUCAAGGUAGGAUUUUUUAAGCCACCUAAAGGAAAUGAACAUGUAAAUUGAAUUUAGCCGGGUUACCAUAGCAUUUACCAUCCAAACAGGAACAUUUUUAAAAGUCAAAGGGAAAACAAGUAUAAACUAGGAUGUAUGGUUACCUUAGAUUUAAGCAAAAGGGAAGAGUGUUUGAGGCAGAUAAAAAUGUAUGUGAAAGAGAAGACUAGAUCUAUUAAAAGAACUAAAAUUCUCCAUUUAGGGAGACUGUAAACUGUAAGGAAGAAAAGUAGGCCAGAAAAGGAAGGAGAAAUCAGAUUCUUCAAGGCCUUACAAAUCAAAAAGGAACUUGGACUCCAUUCCAAGGACAAUAAAAGUUCCAAGCAAAGACAUGACAUAAAUUUUGGGAAAUUAUGUUGAUUGCAGUGUGGUAAAAGUGUGAGCAAAAAAGAUAUCAGCAGAGAUCAUUUAGGGGGUAAAAGGAGAAUGGAGUAUGGGGUUUUGGCAUCAUGAGAUGUUCUCUGAUUAUGUGACUGCAAGACUCUAUGAAUACACUAAAGACUACUGAACUGUUUGGUGAUUGUGAAUUACAGCUCAAUAAAGUGUUUUAAGGAAAUUUAGGAAAUUAAGUCCUCCAGGUGAGAUGGUAGGGGCUCUACAUUAAGGUGUUAGAAAUUGAGGAUGAGUUCAAGAGAUAUUUAAGAGAAACUAUACGGCCUUGUGAUUCACAGUAUAUGGAGGUGAAGGAGAGGGAAAAAUCAAAUUAACUUCCAAGUAAGUGGCAGGAUGGGGCACAGUGCUGUUUACUGACAGAACCUGAACCAGACAAGUGUGUGAGAUGGAGGUGGGGAAGAUCUUAGGACAUGUUGAAUUUGAGAGAACAGAGACUUUCAAGUGGGAGAUAUCUGUGUGUCCCCCUCCCUCUCCCCAAUUCAUUUGCUGAACUCUAAUCUCAAUGUGAUGGUGCUGGGAAGUAAUUAGGUCCUAAGGAUGGAGUCCUCAGGACCUCAUUAGUAUCCCUGUAAGAGGCCAACGAAGUUCCUGUCACAUGAGGAUAUCUCAGCAGUCUGUGUAGCCCAGAGGAGAGGUCUCACAGAACCUGACCAUGCUGGCACCGUAACCUCAGACUUCACUCUCCAGAACAGUCCAGAACAAAUUUGUUUAUAACCCACCUAACUGAUAGCACUUUGUUUUAGCAAUCUAAGCUAAGACGACAUAUAAGUGUGGCUCUCAGGUGAACAUCUAGGCCAAAGAAAACCAACAUACGUCCCUGAAGUAAACAGCAUUGCUUAAGGUGCGUGAUUACAAAAUCAAGAUUUAAGAGAUGGUUAGAGGUGAAAUCAUCUGAGGAAGGGCCCCAGACAUAGGGAAAAAACCAGGGGAGCAUCAUGUCGCGAGUCCAAUUCAAAGUCUUUCAAAUGAAGUAUUCAGGGGUGUAAAGUACUAUUAUGUGUCAAAAAAGACAAGCGGAGUAAGCUCUGAACUUCAAGACGUUUCAGUGGAGUGAUAAUGGCAGAAACCAGUCUCACUGGCUUCCCUGGUAAAUGGUGAGGUGCUGUUUGUCAAGAGGCAAGUAAUUAGGUUUUGAAGGGGGAAAAGAAGGGGGUUGAGCAAGAAAAUAUUUUUUAAAGAGGCUUGGGGGGAUCCCUGGGUGGCACAGCGGUUUAGCGCCUGCCUUUAGGGCCCAGGGCGCGAUCCUGGAGACCCGGGAUCGAGUCCCACAUCGGGGCUCCCGGUGCAUGGAGCCUGCUUCUCCCUCUGCCUGUGUCUCUGCCUCUCUCUCUCUCUCUCUGUGACUAUCAUUCGUAAAUAAAUAAAUAAAAUAAAUAAAUAAAUAAAUACUAAAUU
rnacentral:lncRNA from 1 species